AGGAUAAACGCUGGCGGCGUGCAUGAGACAUGCAAGUCGAACGGACGAUCAGGGCUUGCUCUGAUCGUUAGUGGCGGACGGCUGAGUAACGCGUAGGUGACCUGCCCCGAAGUUGGGAAUAACUGCCCGAAAGGGUGGCUAAUACCGCAUGUGGUGGUGUGUUCAUUCACAUCAGUAAAGCCGCAAGGCGCUUCGGGAGGGGCCCGCGUCCGAUUAGCUCGCUGGUGAGGUAACGGCUCACCAAGGCGACGAUCGGUAGGUGGUCUGAGAGGACGAUCACCCAGACUGGGACUGAGACACGGCCCAGACUCCUACGGGAGGCAGCAGUCGGGAAUUUUGCGCAAUGGACGAAAGUCUGACGCAGCAACGCCGCGUGAGGGAUGAAGGCCUUCGGGUUGUAAACCUCUUUUCCAGGGAAGAUAAUGACGGUACCUGGCGAAUAAGUCACGGCUAACUCUGUGCCAGCAGCCGC
rnacentral:rRNA from 1 species